rnacentral:misc_RNA from 1 species
UACGUAGGGUCCGAGCGUUGUCCGGAAUUAUUGGGCGUAAAGCGCGCGUAGGCGGUUUCUUAAGUCUGAUGUGAAAGCCCACGGCUCAACCGUGGAGGGUCAUUGGAAACUGGAGGACUUGAGUGCAGAAGAGGAAAGUGGAAUUCCACGUGUAGCGGUGAAAUGCGUAGAUAUGUGGAGGAACACCAGUGGCGAAGGCGACUCUCUGGUCUGUAACUGACGCUGAGGCGCGAAAGCGUGGGGAGCAAACAGG